rnacentral:rRNA from 1 species
UACGAAGGGGGCUAGCGUUGCUCGGAAUCACUGGGCGUAAAGGGUGCGUAGGCGGGUCUUUAAGUCAGGGGUGAAAUCCUGGAGCUCAACUCCAGAACUGCCUUUGAUACUGAGGAUCUUGAGUACGGGAGAGGUGAGUGGAACUGCGAGUGUAGAGGCGAAAUUCGUAGAUAUUCGGAAGAACACCAGUGGCGAAGGCGGCUCACUGGACUGGUAUUGACGCUGAGGUGCGAAAGCGUGGGGAGCAAACAGG